CCUACGGGUGGCAGCAGUGAGGAAUAUUGGUCAAUGGACGCAAGUCUGAACCAGCCAAGCCGCGUGCAGGAAGACGGCUCUAUGAGUUGUAAACUUCUUUUGUACGAGGGUAAACGCAGAUACGUGUACCUGUCUGAAAGUAUCUUAUGAAUAAGGAUCGGCUAACUCCGUGCCAGCAGCCGCGGUAAUACGGAGGAUUCAAGCGUUAUCCGGAUUUAUUGGGUUUAAAGGGUGCGUAGGCGGUCGGAUAAGUUAGUGGUGAAAGUCUGAGGCUCAACUUUGGAAUUGCCUUUGAUACUGUGCGGCUAGAGAGUAGUUGCGGUAGGCGGAAUGUGUGGUGUAGCGGUGAAAUGCUUAGAGAUCAUACAGAACACCGAUUGCGAAGGCAGCUUACCAAGCUACGUCUGACGUUGAGGCACGAAAGCGUGGGGAGCAAACAGGAUUAGAUACCCGAGUAGUC
rnacentral:rRNA from 1 species